UUCACUAACUUACCAAAACCCUUACCUAGUACUGAGCGACUUCAUAAAAUUAUGAAGAACCAUAUGCUAGAACUAGUAACAAGAAACAGACCUUCUCCAAAAUGUAUGCAUAAGCCAAAAUGAACCACUCAUCGGCACUUAUCGUUUAUGAACCAACAGUAGCAACUUCAACAAGAAAACCCUACUACUCAUGACGUUAACCUCACACCAGAACAUUCCAGGAAAGAUUAAAAGAAAGGGAAGGAACUCGGCAAAUAAUAACCUCGCCUGUUUACCAAAAACAUCGCCUCUUGACCCACUAUAAGAGGUCCAGCCUGCCCAGUGACAAAGUUAAACGGCCGCGGUACCCUAACCGUGCAAAGGUAGCGCAAUCACUUGUUCUUUAAAUGAGGACUAGUAUGAAUGGCAUCACGAGGGUUAUACUGUCUCCCCCAUCUAAUCAGUGAAACUGACCCUCCCGUGAAGAAGCGGGAAUAAAAAUAUAAGACGAGAAGACCCCAUGGAGCUUCAAACCCAACAUCAACUGCUUAAAUUUUACAACAUCCAAACCCAACAGCCCUGAUGAUUGGUUUUCGGUUGGGGUGACCACGGAGUAAAACAAAACCUCCACGAUGAAAGGGACCCUUCCCUAAUCCAAGAGCUACAGCUCUAAGAAUCAAUAAAUUGACAAACUUGACCCAAAUAUUUUUUGAUCAACGAACCAAGUUACCCUGGGGAUAACAGCGCAAUCCAUUUCAAGAGCCCAUAUCGACAAAUGGGUUUACGACCUCGAUGUUGGAUCAGGGUAUCCAAGUGGCGCAGCCGCUACUAACGGUUC
rnacentral:rRNA from 1 species